rnacentral:rRNA from 1 species
AACAGCUCAAAUUUGAAAUCUGGCCCUCGGGUCCGAGUUGUAAUUUGUAGAGGAUGCUUUUGGCGCGGUGCCUUCCGAGUUCCCUGGAACGGGACGCCUUAGAGGGUGAGAGCCCCGUACGGUUGGACACCAAGCCUCUGUAAAGCUCCUUCGACGAGUCGAGUAGUUUGGGAAUGCUGCUCUAAAUGGGAGGUAAAUUUCUUCUAAAGCUAAAUAUUGGCCAGAGACCGAUAGCGCACAAGUAGAGUGAUCGAAAGAUGAAAAGCACUUUGAAAAGAGGGUUAAAUAGCACGUGAAAUUGUUGAAAGGGAAGCGUUUGCGACCAGACCUUUUCCUAGCGGAUCAUCCGGUGUUCUUCACCGGUGCACUUCGCUAGGUUGAGGCCAGCAUCGGUUUUCGUAGGGGGAUAAAAGCCCUGGGAACGUAGCUCCUCCGGGAGUGUUAUAGCCCUCUGCAUAAUACCCUUACGGGGACCGAGGACCGCGCUUUUAGCAAGGAUGCUGGCGUAAUGGUCGUCAACGACCCGUCUUGAAACACGGACCAAGGAGUCGAACAUUUGUGCGAGUGUUUGGGUGUUAAACCCUCACGCGUAAUGAAAGUGAACGGAGGUGAGAGCCCUUACGGGUGCAUCAUCGACCGAUCCUGAUGUCUUCGGAUGGAUUUGAGUAAGAGCAUAACUGUUCGGACCCGAAAGAUGGUGAACUAUGCGUGGAUAGGGUGAAGCCAGAGGAAACUCUGGUGGAGGCUCGCAGCGGUUCUGACGUGCAAAUCGAUCGUCAAAUCUGCGCAUGGGGGCGAAAGACUUAUCGAACCAUCUAGUAGCUGGUUACCGCCGAAGUUUCCCUCAGGAUAGCAGUGUUGUUCUUCAGUUUUAUGAGGUAAAGCGAAUGAUUAGGGACUCGGGGGCGCUUUUUAGCCUUCAUCCAUUCUCAAACUUUAAAUAUGUAAGAAGCCCUUGUUACUUAAUUGAACGUGGGCAUUCGAAUGUACCAACACUAGUGGGCCAUUUUUGGUAAGCAGAACUGGCGAUGCGGGAUGAACCGAACGCGGGGUUAAGGUGCCGGAGUGGACGCUCAUCAGACACCACAAAAGGUGUUAGCACAUUUAGACAAUAGGACGGUGGCCAUGGAAGUCGGAAUCCGCUAAGGACUGUGUAACAACUCACCUAUCGAAUGUGCUAGCCCUGAAAAUGGAUGGCGCUCAAGCGUCCCACCCAUACCUCGCCCUCA